GGAAAAAGGUGAGGUGAAGCGUUCAAAGCCGAAGGUGGUAAGCCGUGUUAAGUGGCUGCUGGUUUUGCCAAAUCAGGCGGCUAAGCUACAGACAAGUCUUGUACGCUGUCGAAAGGUUGGAAUCGAAUCAUUCAUCCAGCAGUAGAUGCAUAAUCCGGAGCUGAAAAGCAAAAUAGAGGUCAAGUAGCAGCGAAGCACGGAAUCCCCAGCAAGUGAAGGAUCCGAUUUACUACUCAAGUAGCUAGAUGCAGCAGCCUAGCAAGUAAGGAGGAGGAGGAGGAGGAGGCACAUCUGAACGGAAUUUGGUGCAAGGGGGAGAGAGAUCCGUGACUGGAUUGGGAAUUGGGGAAGCAGAGGGUCGGGAGCAACUGGAGUAGUUAGUAAUUACUGGGUCGGAUGCGACGAGUCUGGCCAUGCGGUCGGCGACGUCGACGGCGUGGCGGGAGCCGGCCCAUGCGACCUUCAUCUGUUCGACGUCGAACUGCGCGGUGGCCCUCUCGGCGG